rnacentral:rRNA from 1 species
UACGUAGGGUGCAAGCGUUAAUCGGAAUUACUGGGCGUAAAGCGUGCGCAGGCGGUGAUGUAAGACAGGUGUGAAAUCCCCGGGCUUAACCUGGGAACUGCAUUUGUGACUGCAUCGCUGGAGUGCGGCAGAGGGGAUGGAAUUCCGCGUGUAGCAGUGAAAUGCGUAGAUAUGCGGAGGAACACCGAUGGCGAAGGCAAUCCCCUGGGCCUGCACUGACGCUCAGUGCACGAAAGCGUGGGGAGCGAACAGG